GACGAACGCUGGCGGCGUGCCUAAUACAUGCAAGUCGAGCGAGCGGAACCAACAGAUUUACUUCGGUAAUGACGUUGGGAAAGCGAGCGGCGGAUGGGUGAGUAACACGUGGGGAACCUGCCCCUAAGCCUGGGAUACCAUUUGGAAACAGGUGCUAAUACCGGAUAAUAAAGCAGAUCGCAUGAUCAGCUUUUGAAAGGCGGCGUAAGCUGUCGCUAAGGGAUGGCCCCGCGGUGCAUUAGCUAGUUGGUAAGGUAACGGCUUACCAAGGCGACGAUGCAUAGCCGAGUUGAGAGACUGAUCGGCCACAUUGGGACUGAGACACGGCCCAAACUCCUACGGGAGGCAGCAGUAGGGAAUCUUCCACAAUGGACGCAAGUCUGAUGGAGCAAUGCCGCGUGAGUGAAGAAGGUUUUCGGAUCGUAAAGCUCUGUUGUUGGUGAAGAAGGAUAGAGGUAGUAACUGGCCUUUAUUUGACGGUAAUCAACCAGAAAGUCACGGCUAACUACGUGCCAGCAGCCGCGGUAAUACGUAGGUGGCAAGCGUUGUCCGGAUUUAUUGGGCGUAAAGCGAGCGCAGGCGGAAAAAUAAGUCUAAUGUGAAAGCCCUCGGCUUAACCGAGGAACUGCAUCGGAAACUGUUUU
rnacentral:rRNA from 1 species